CACUCAGGAAGUGGUGAAAGAGGAACUGACUUGAUCUCAAAAGAGUUCUGCACAUGAAAUGUAAGCCUAGGAUCUGCAAAAUGAAGAACAUGUUCCUGCUCAUUAUCUGGCUUAUAUCAGGUUUUCAAGCCUCAGCAAAAAGUGAAGGAUGUCUGGAAGACUGGACUAAAUUUAAAUGCAAACAAUCAGAAUUCAACUUUACAACUGAGGGCAUGUGUAUUAAACAAAUUAAAUCUGAUAAAAACAGAGACAAAUGUCCUCUUGCCCAUUAUUUGAAAAAAUAUGAAUUCACAUUGGACCUAAAAAAUAUCAAACCAAAAAAACAAAACUAUACAGAAACAGAAACAGAUAUUUGCAAGAAAUCACAAAAAAACAUCAGAUGUGAUUUUUCAAAACAACUCCUGUCCAAGAUCUGCAACAGCAAAAACAUUAUCUGUAAAGGAUCAUCUUCAUCAUCAGCUCAAUUUUCAAGUUGGGAAUCAUAUGCAAAAUCCAGCUGUAAAAAGGACUUAGAGAAAGCUUGUAUACACCACUGGGAAAGUAAAAAAUCAGAGUCAAAUGACAAUACAAAGAAACUCAUUUUAAGGGUUCUAAAUGUUAAAACCUUUGAAAGACCAUCAAGCCUUGGAAGUGACCUUACCUACUUUUGCAAAUAUAACAGAGACGAUUACCCAGUAAUCUGUAAGGGAGAAGAUCCAAAUCAAUGUAAGGUUGUUGGAACCACUGAAAAUAAUAACCAAAGGUUUACAAUAAAAAAAAAUGAAAAUAAAAAGAGGAAUAUAACUAUAACAAUGAGAGGAAUAACAGCCAAUGACUUUGGUACAUACUGGUGUCGAAC